UUAGGAAUAUUGGACAAUGGGCGCAAGCCUGAUCCAGCCAUGCCGCGUGAGUGAUGAAGGCCUUCGGGUUGUAAAACUCUUUAGUCCACGAAUAUAAUGACUGUAGUGGAAGAAUAAGCCCCGGCUAACUUCGUGCCAGCAGCCGCGGUAAUACGAAGGGGGCGAGCGUUAUUCGGAAUCACUGGGCGUAAAGCGUGCGUAGGCUGUUCGGUAAGUCAGAAGUGAAAGCCCAAGGCUCAACCUUGGAAGUGCUUUUGAAACUACCGGACUAGAAUUCAGGAGAGGAUAGCGGAAUUCCCAGUGUAGCAGUGAAAUGCGUAGAUAUUGGGAGGAACACCAGUGGCGCAAGCGGCUAUCUGGACUGACAUUGACGCUGAGGCACGAAAGCGUGGGGAUCAAACAGGAUUAGAUACCCCCGUAGUCC
rnacentral:rRNA from 1 species